CAUAAAGGGUGGGACACACGUGAAAAGCGUGAAUUAGCCAGGAUUAAAUUUACAAUAGGGUGGUCGUUUAUUGAACUUGCCAGCCCCAUUGAGAGCUGCACGCGUGCAGAGCAUUUCUGAAGCACUCUGCCCAUAGGCUCAUUGUCCUGAGUGUAUGUUGUGUAGUGCAAACACAUCUAGUUGGAUGUUUGGUAACUAGUCCAGGACAACUUGAAAGGCAAAUUAUUCAGGAUGGUCCCACUGAAUGUUGGGGCAGGACCAGACAGUGCAUAGAGAUUACUUGGCACAUGCCAGUAGUCUACAGUUAGAAAGAGGAGAUCGAGGUAUCUCCCCAGCUGCCCCAUGCAGGGAGCUCAUAGGCUGGUUGGGGAGAUCAGAGAUCUCUCUCAUCAGCUCAGCUCACUCUCCCUCAUGGUGGACAGGCUGAGGGUAGGGCUUGUGUGUUACAGGGCCUAGCCAACAUAGGACGUCUGUCACUAACAUGGUACGCGUGCUUACAAUAGUUGCCCACUAUGCACAGAUUUAACAUUGCACAGCCUGGAAUUAUAUUUCUGGGCUGGAUAUUAGAAGUUUCAGACACAAAUAGAUUCAAUUACUCAAUCUAUAUGAAGUCCAGUGCCAGCAUGCAAAGAACCACUGGAUACAGCGCUUUUAAUAGACACAUAUUGGAUUGAUGGAUUGUGGUGAAUGCCAUGCAAGCUAUGUAUCUCAUCAGUGCGUCUCUAUA